rnacentral:rRNA from 1 species
GACAGAGGGUGCAAACGUUGUUCGGAAUUACUGGGCGUAAAGCGCGUGUAGGCGGCUUGGCAAGUCGGGUGUGAAAGCCCCGGGCUCAACCUGGGAAGUGCACUCGAAACUGCUUGGCUGGAGUGUCGGAGAGGGAAGCGGAAUUCUCGGUGUAGAGGUGAAAUUCGUAGAUAUCGAGAGGAACACCGGUGGCGAAGGCGGCUUCCUGGACGACUACUGACGCUGAGACGCGAAAGCGUGGGGAGCAAACAGG